AUCGCGCUUACUCAUCAAAUUCCAUUCCCUACUCCUAGCAUUGUCACACCUUUUCUGCACCCGUACGUUUCACGUCUCGAGGAACACUCCUAUUCUAACUCUCAACAACGUCACAUCUAGACUUCUUACACAGCUUCAUACAGCACACUUCGUUUUUACCGCCAUCUGAGCUUCCUCGAAAUAAAUAUAUAAGUAAUAUCUCAAACAAACCCUACGUUAUUCAAUCCUCAUCCUGAUUUCCGGUUGUUCUGGAACUUAAAAGCGAAGCCAACCAGUUUACUCUUACCGCUCAGGAGUAACUCUACUCACGGACGUAACAACGGAAAGAGAACCAAAACGGGAGUCACGCAUCCGAAAUUCCGUGAAGGGAUAAUUUACGCGAUAUCGAAUAAGAUUUAUUUAAGGUUUUUUGUUUCUUGAUGUUCUUCGAGUUUCGAGGGCAUCAAAGGAGGAGUUGGUGAUCAUUUCGAAGAAAUUACAGAGUAGCGAAAUGGCGCUAAUUUGGAAAAAACGAUGCCGAGGCUGCGAAGGGGGAGCCAGCACAAAUUCCCGCAGCGAGGGAGUCCAAGGCGGAUAGUCUAGUCUAUAAGCUUAAAAUGGUCUAAAAUAGAGAUACUGCUCUUAAAAUUAUGUGCGAUAGCUCAUUGGAUUCGGAAUGACGCCUAGACAAA